rnacentral:rRNA from 1 species
AGCGAACGCUGGCGGCAGGCCUAACACAUGCAAGUCGAACGGGCUCUUCGGAGCUAGUGGCGGACGGGUGAGUAACACGUGGGAACGUGCCUUUAGGUUCGGAAUAAGCCCGGGAAACUGGGUCUAAUACCGGAUGUGCCCUUCGGGGGAAAGAUUUAUCGCCUUUAGAGCGGCCCGCGUCUGAUUAGCUAGUUGGUGGUGUAAUGGACCACCAAGGCGACGAUCAGUAGCUGGUCUGAGAGGAUGAUCAGCCACAUUGGGACUGAGACACGGCCCAAACUCCUACGGGAGGCAGCAGUGGGGAAUCUUGCGCAAUGGGCGAAAGCCUGACGCAGCCAUGCCGCGUGAAUGAUGAAGGUCUUAGGAUUGUAAAAUUCUUUCACCGGGGACGAUAAUGACGGUACCCGGAGAAGAAGCCCCGGCUAACUUCGUGCCAGCCGCCGCAGUAA